rnacentral:rRNA from 1 species
GAUGAACGCUGGCGGCGUGCCUAAUACAUGCAAGUCGAGCGAACGGACGAGAAGCUUGCUUCUCUGAUGUUAGCGGCGGACGGGUGAGUAACACGUGGAUAACCUACCUAUAAGACUGGGAUAACUUCGGGAAACCGGAGCUAAUACCGGAUAAUAUUUUGAACCGCAUGGUUCAAAAGUGAAAGACGGUCUUGCUGUCACUUAUAGAUGGAUCCGCGCUGCAUUAGCUAGUUGGUAAGUUAACGGCUUACCAAGGCAACGAUGCAUAGCCGACCUGAGAGGGUGGUCGGCCACACUGGAACGGAGACACGGUCCUGACUCCUACGGGAGGGAGCAGUAGGGAAUCUUACGCAAUGGGCGAAAGCCUGACGGAGCAACGCCGAGUGAGUGAUGACGGUCUUCGGAUCGUAAAACUCUGUUAUUAGGGAAGAACAUAUGUGUAAGUAACUGUGCCCAUCUUGACGGUACCUAAUAAGAAAGCCACGGCUAACUACGUG